GUCUAUGGCCAUGCCACACUGAACAAGCCUGAUGUCUAAACUCAGAAGCUAAGCAGGGUCGGGCCUGGUUAGUACUUGGAUGGGAGACCACCUAGGAAGACCAGGUGCUGUAGGAA
rnacentral:rRNA from 1 species